rnacentral:rRNA from 1 species
CGCGUGAGUAACCUGCCUUUCAGAGGGGGAUAACAUCCUGAAAAGGAUGCUAAUACCGCAUGAUAUCCAAGCAUCGCAUGGUGAGUGGAUCAAAGGAGCAAUCCGCUGAAAGAUGGACUCGCGUCCGAUUAGCCAGUUGGUGAGGUAACGGCUCACCAAAGCGACGAUCGGUAGCCGGACUGAGAGGUUGAACGGCCACAUUGGGACUGAGACACGGCCCAGACUCCUACGGGAGGCAGCAGUGGGGGAUAUUGCACAAUGGGGGAAACCCUGAUGCAGCAACGCCGCGUGAAUGAUGAAGGUCUUCGGAUUGUAAAAUUCUGUUCUUGGUGAAGAUAAUGACGGUAGCCAAGGAGAAAGCUCCGGCUAACUACGUGCCAGCAGCCGCGGUAAUACGUAGGGAGCGAGCGUUGUCCGGAUUUACUGGGUGUAAAGGGUGCGCAGGCGGCUCUGCAAGUCAGGCGUGAAAGCUAGGGGCUCAACCCCUAAACUGCGCUUGAAACUGUGGAGCUUGAGUGAAGUAGAGGCAGGCGGAAUUCCCGGUGUAGCGGUGAAAUGCGUAGAGAUCGGGAGGAACACCAGUGGCGAAGGCGGCCUGCUGGGCUUUAACUGACGCUCAGGCACGAAAGCAUGGGUAGCAAACAGGAUUAGAUACCCUGGUAGUCCAUGCCGUAAACGAUGAUUACUAGGUGUGGGGGGUCUGACCCCCUCCGUGCCGGAGUUAACACAAUAAGUAAUCCAC